CCUACGGGAGGCAGCAGUGGGGAAUAUUGGUCAAUGGACGAGAGUCUGACCCAGCCAAGUAGCGUGAAGGAUGACUGCCCUAUGAGUGGUAAACUUCUUUUGUAAAGGAAUAAAACGAGGCACGUAUGCCUUUUUGCAUUUACUUUAUGAAUAAGGAACGGAUAACUCCGUGCCAGCAGCCGCGGGAAUGCGGAGGAUCCGAGCGUUACACGGAUUUAUUGGUUUUAAAGGGAGCGUAGAUGGGUUGUUAAGUCAGUUGUGAAAGUUUGCGGCUCAACCGUAAAAUUGCAAUUGAUACUGGCAGUCUUGAGUACAGUAGAGGUAAGUGGAAUUCGUGGUGUAGCGGUGAAAUGCUUAGAUAUCACGAAGAACCCCGAUUGCGAAGGCAGCUUACUAAACUGUGACUGACAUUGAUGCUCGAAAGUGUGGGUAUCAAACAGGAUUAGAUACCCCAGUAGUC
rnacentral:rRNA from 1 species